rnacentral:rRNA from 1 species
CGUAACACGUGACAGGGAGCGGGGGGAGGACUGGGGGGUCAAGCGUUAUUCGGAAUGACGGGGCGGAAAGCGCACGCAGGCGGCCUGUCAAGGCAGAUGUGAAAUCCCCGGGCGCAACCUGGGAACUGCAUUCGAAACGGGCAGGCUAGAGUCUUGGAGAGGGGGGUAGAAUUCCAGGUGUAGCGGUGAAAUGCGUAGAGAUCUGGAGGAAUACCGGUGGAGAAGGCGGCCCCCUGGACAAAGACUAACGCUCAGGUGCGAAAGCGUGGGGAGCAAACAGGAUUAGAUACCCUGGUAGUC